GACGAACGCUGGCGGCGUGCUUAACACAUGCAAGUCGAACGGACAGGCCCUGCUUUUGUGGGGUGCUCGUGUGGCGAACGGGUGAGUAACACGUGAGUAACCUGUCCUUGACUUUGGGAUAACUUCAGGAAACUGGGGCUCAUACCGGCUAGGAGCUCCUGCUGCAUGGUGGGGGUUGGUAAGUUUCGGCGGUUGGGGAUGGACUCGCGGCUUAUCAGCUUGUUGGUGGGGUAGUGGCUUACCAAGGCUUUGACGGGUAGCCGGCCUGAGAGGGUGACCGGCCACGUUGGGACUGAGAUACGGCCCAGACGCAUACGGGAGGCAGCAGUGGGGAAUAUUGCACAAUGGGCGGAAGCCUGAUGCAGCAACGCCGCGUGCGGGAUGACGGCCUUCGGGUUGUAAACCGCUUUCGCCUGUGACGAAGCGUGAGUGACGGUAAUGGGUAAAGAAGCACCGGCUAACUACGUG
rnacentral:rRNA from 1 species